GGGAAUGUGGCUUAGUGGUAGAGUGCUUGCCUUGCCUGCAAGAAUGAAGCCCUGGGUUCAAUUCCUCAGUGCCA
rnacentral:tRNA from 1 species